rnacentral:rRNA from 1 species
UGGAUGAUGUGGAUUAAUUCGAUGCAACGCGAAAACCUUACCUACCCUUGACAUGUCCGGAAUCCCGAAGAGAUUUGGGAGUGCUCGCAAGAGAACCGGAACACAGGUGCUGCAUGGCUGUCGUCAGCUCGUGUCGUGAGAUGUUGGGUUAAGUCCCGCAACGAGCGCAACCCUUGUCAUUAGUUGCCAUCAUUUGGUUGGGCACUCUAAUGAGACUGCCGGUGACAAACCGGAGGAAGUGGGGAUGACGUCAAGUCCUCAUGGCCCUUAUGGGUGGGGCUACACACGUCAUACAAUGGCCGGUACAGAGGGUAGCCAACCCGCGAGGGGGAGCCAAUCCCACAAAGCCGGUCGUAGUCCGGAUCGCAGUCUGCAACUCGACUGCGUGAAGUCGGAAUCGCUAGUAAUCGCGGAUCAGCAUGUCGCGGUGAAUACGUUCCCGGGUCUU